rnacentral:rRNA from 1 species
AUGGCGCCCCCUACAGCUUUCUCCUCUCUAGUUGGUUUCGGCUGCCUGCUGUGCUCGCACGUCUGGUUCCAAAGGAGGGCGACGGCUGUUAGAACCCGUUGUUUGGUCAAGCGCCAACGUAGGAAUGUGUCAGCGGCGGCCAGCGUGUCGCUCUCCAAGGUCGUGGUGACUGGGUUUGGGUGCGAGCUGGUUGGGGAACACGACCCGUUGGUCAACACUGGCGGCUCGGUGCAUGCGCCCUGCUCUCAUGACGGGGACGCUGCCUCCAGCACGUACGAUGGAUUUGCUGCCAUUGAACAAGAUUCGGGUGAGGCGAGCAGCUCUUGA